rnacentral:tRNA from 1 species
GGUGGCUCAGUGGUAGAGUGCUUGCCUAGCAUGCAAGAAGCCCUGGGUUUGAUUCCUCAGCACCA